GGGGCCCAUUCAAAGAAUCGCGUUUGGGUCAAAAAGCAAUUUUACAACCCAGAUGAGGAAAGUCCGGACUCCAAGUGGUUCCGACAGUAUACAGCAAUGUUUACAGACUUUGAGAUUACAUCAAAAAGUAUCGGAAUAGACACCUUUAACUUGAAAGUAACUUGAAAACAUAGCAGGAAAAGCAAUUGGAUAGCUAGUGAGUAAAGGCUUUUAGGGUAUAGGCGGGGCGCAAGCUUCGGGAGAAAAGGGCAACAGAGAACAAACAGCCUUAGGGCUAGUUUAGCUAUAUGUACGUGAUAUAACUAAUGCUAGCUCUGGGUAAAGGUGAAAAGGUGGAGUAAGAGCCCACCGAUCCUGAUAGCAAUAUCAGGGUGCCGGCAACCCCUGUCUGGAGCAACCCUAAUUUAGGGGCAAUAGAUAAAUGAUUCUAUAAACAGAAUCCGGCUUAUGGAUGGACCCCCGUU
rnacentral:RNase_P_RNA from 1 species